GACAGGGCGUGGAUGCAGCGCAGUGUUGUGAUCCUCACGUUCUGCAAGAGAACAACUCUGAGAUCUGCUUCAUAUUACAUGUGUAAACAUGUCCAGGUUGCAGCCUCGAGCAGGCUGUACUAAUGACAGCAACCAAGAUGGACAGAACCGCCUCGUCCACCAGAGGACUUUGGAAAAGAUUACGGGCUCUCUCACCCUGCAGUGCUGCCUGGAGUGCAAGUGACAACAGCUGUGGGAUGAUGACGUCGUGGAAGCAACGCCCGGAGUCCUCUGUGUCUUCAACCUGCUCAGCUAUUCUCUGGAGGCUGCGGCACGUCAACACCGCCUCUUCCGUCGAGAAACCGACUUUGCCUGCAACAGGAGAAUUAAGGAGGGGUUAAGCGAGUUUGGUUGCAUAGCUAAAACAAAAGCUAUAAAAGUUAGGUCCAAACAUAAAGCCUUCCCGCUGAUAUCAACAAAAA